GACGAACGCUGGCGGCGUGCUUAACACAUGAAAGUCGUACGCGUGGCGGACGGGUGAGUAAUGUCUGGGAAACUGCCUGAUGGAGGGGGAUAACUACUGGAAACGGUAGCUAAUACCGCAUACCAUCGGAUGUGCCCAGAUGGGAUUAGCUAGUAGGGGGGGUAAAGGCUCACCUAGGCGCCGAUCCCUAGCUGGUCUGUGAGGAUGACCAGCCAGACUGGAACUGAUACACUGGCCAGACUCCUACGGUAGGCAGUGGUGGGGAAUAUUGCACAAUGGGCGCAAGCCUGAUGCAGCCAUGCCGGGUGUAUGAAGAAGGCCUUCGGGUUGUAAAGUACUUUCAGCGGGGAGGCGUUACCCGCAGAAGGAGCACCGGCUAACUCCGUGCCAGCAGCCGCGGUAAUUC
rnacentral:rRNA from 1 species